UGGGGCGUCGCCAAGCGGUAAGGCACUGGACUCUGACUCCAGCAUUCGAGGGUUCGAAUCCUUCCGCCCCAG
rnacentral:tRNA from 1 species